CAGUCUACUCACUUGAAAGGGACCUGGUUGGCAGCACUGUGGUAAAUGUUUAUAAAUUGACCUCAGUGUUGCCAGCCAGGUCUCUUUCAAAUGAGU
rnacentral:pre_miRNA from 1 species